rnacentral:rRNA from 1 species
AUGGUCGACACCAGGCGCAGCUCCGCGGGGAAGCGCCGGGCCUCGUCGGAGGAGGCCUCGCCCCCGACGCCCCCGCCCGCGGCGGCCUCGGGCGCGGGCGCGGGCGACGCGCCGGGGGCGUCGGCGUCCGCGCCCGCGGCGGAGGCCGCCUCCCCACCGCCCCCGCGGAGCCGGUCGGCCAAGCGGGCCAAGGGCAAGACGACGUGCGUGGUGUCAGCCCCCGUGUUCGAGGCUGCCGCCAAGGCAGCGGGCCGCGUGAUCGAGAGCUCGCAGCUGAGCGCGCCGGCCGUGGAGAGGUCCGCCGGGGCCGUCGCGGCGUCGUCCACCGUGUCGAAUUCAGGAGCUUCAGCGAGGAAGAAGAGGACGCCCAGGCGUCUGCCUCCGUCCGACGAGACGACGGCGGAAGAGAUGACGCAGUGGAAGACGAGGCGCGGGGCGGCCAGUAGCCGGACUCAUGCUUGGGCCAGACUGAUUUCCCAAUCUUCUCAGUAUCCCACGGUUCCUAUUUAUGCUUCCUAUUUCACCGUUGGUCAUGGUGGUAAACAUGAUUUGAAACUGACGGAUGCAUUAUCUGGAUCACUUGUUUGCAGACUGAGGCAUGUUAGGAGGGGUGCUGCCCUUGAGGUCUCUAUAUCCAAAGUUGUCUAUGUAAAUGGGAAGGCCUUAGACAAGGCUGCUAAGGUCACCUUGACUGGAGGCGACGAAGUUGUUUUUAGUUCACUUGGGAGGCAUGCUUAUAUAUUUCAGCCUCUUCCAGAGGAAAAAUCAAGCACAUCAACCUUUUCUUCCCCAAGUUUCGUUCAGCAAGGGCAGUAUCCAGUUAUGAAAGGCACACUGGAUCAUUUAUCAUCUAAAAGGGCCAAGUUAUCAGUGCCGUUUAAUUUUGGUAGUGGCUGCUCUCCAUCUGUUCCUCAUGAUACAGAGAUAGUCAGCAGUUUAUGUAAAACAAUGGAGGAGCAGAACCAGUUCUCUUCUGAAGAAAAUGUGCCAUUUGCUCAACAUAAACUUUUAAAAGAAGAUCUGAAGAAGGCAGUUGUUAGUGCAAGUGAUAUAUCAGAGUCAUUUGAUAGUUUUCCAUAUUAUCUGAGCGAGAAUACCAAAAGUUCUCUCCUGACACCAGCACAUGUAAAUUUGUGUUGCAAGGAAGCCAUGGAGUGGACAAAAAAAAUAUCUUUUAUUUCUCAACGAGUACUAUUAUCUGGUCCAGCAGGGUCUGAGAUAUACCAAGAAACAUUGAUGAAGGCUCUCACCAAACACUUCGAUGCUAGGCUGCUCGUUGUAGAUUCAUCAUUGCUGUCGAGUGGACAGUCUUCAAAGUCAAAGGAGUCAGAGCCGUACAAAAGAGGUGAUAGGGUGAGAUACAUUGGUUCUUUGCAGUCAACAAGGUUUAUCCUUGAGGGACAAAGAGCUCCAGAUUAUGGUUCCCAGGGUGAAGUGCGACUUCCUUUUGAGGAAAAUGGAUCCUCAAAAAUUGGAGUCAGUUUUGACAAACCAAUCCCUGGGGGCAUUGAUCUAGGAGGCAAUUGUGAGGUUGAUCAUGGUUUCUUCUGUUCAGUUGAUUCUCUGUGCCUCGAUGGUCCAGGAUGGGAAGAUAGAGCUAAACAUCCAUUUGAUGUAAUAUUUGAGUUUGUUUCUGAAGAAAGUGCGCAUGGACCCCUUAUCCUAUUUUUGAAGGACGUUGAGAAAGUGUGUGGAAACACUUACUCUUAUCAUGGUCUAAAGAGCAAGCUCGAAAUUUUUCCAGCAGGUGUUUUUGUUAUUGGGUCUCAGACCCAGGCAGACAGUCGGAAAGAUAAGCUAAACGGGUCUCCUUUCCUGUCGAAGUUCCCAUACGGGCAAGCAGCAAUACUUGACCUUGCGUUCCAGGAUAGCUUUGGCCGGGUGAAUGAUAAAACCAAAGAAGCAGCGAAGACUGCGAAGCAUGUCACUAAACUUUUCCCCAGUAAAGUGACAAUACAACCACCACAGGAUGACUUGGAACUCUCAAAGUGGAAACAGCUAUUGGACCGUGAUAUUGAAAUUCUGAAAGUGAAGGCUAACAUUUCAAAAGUCCAGUCUUUUCUAACUCGCAAUGGUCUGGAAUGUGCUGAUGUAGAGACCACAGUAUGUGUUAAAGAUCGAACUCUUACAAAUGAAUGUGUCGAUAAAAUAGUUGGUUAUGCUUUGAGUCAUCAAGUUAUGAAUUCAACUGUUCCAACUCCUGGAAAGGAUGUGUUACUUGCUCUUUCUGGUGAAAGCCUUCAGCAUGGGGUUGAUUUGUCGGAAAGUAUGCAAAAUGACCAUAAGAAAAAGAGCACAAAGAAAUCACUCAAGGAUGUUGCCACGGAGAAUGAAUUUGAAAAGAGGCUUCUUAGUGAUGUUAUCCCUCCAGAUGAGAUAGGUGUUUCCUUUGAUGACAUUGGAGCGCUAGAGAAUGUCAAGGAAACUUUGAAGGAAUUAGUGAUGCUUCCAUUGCAAAGGCCAGAGUUGUUCUCCAAGGGACAACUUAUGAAGCCAUGUAAAGGAAUAUUGCUUUUUGGUCCACCUGGUACGGGGAAGACCAUGCUUGCUAAAGCUGUUGCAACAGAGGCUGGUGCUAACUUCAUCAACAUAUCAAUGUCAAGCAUUGGCUCGAAGUGGUUUGGCGAGGGGGAAAAAUAUGUGAAAGCUGUGUUUUCACUUGCAAGCAAAAUUGCUCCCAGUGUCAUUUUUGUGGAUGAGGUUGACGGCAUGCUGGGUAGACGUGAAAACCCAGGGGAACAUGAAGCCAUGCGUAAGAUGAAAAAUGAAUUUAUGGUGAACUGGGAUGGUCUGAGAACAAAAGACAAAGAACGUGUAUUAGUACUUGCUGCCACUAAUAGGCCGUUUGAUCUUGAUGAGGCUGUUAUUAGGAGGCUCCCAAGGAGGUUGAUGGUGAAUUUACCAGACGCAACCAAUAGGAAAAUAAUUAUUAGUGUAAUACUAGCCAAAGAAGAUUUGGCAGAAGAUGUAGAUCUGGAAGCAGUGGCCAGCUUGACUGAGGGGUAUUCAGGCAGUGAUCUGAAGAAUCUGUGUAUUACUGCUGCACAUCGUCCCAUAAGGGAACUCCUUGAAAAAGAGAAGAAGGAGAGAUCCUUAGCAGAAGCAGAAAACAAAUCAUUGCCUCCUAAGUAUUCUAGCAGUGAUGUCCGUCCCCUAAAUAUGAGUGAUCUCAAACAGGCACACGAGCAGGUAUGUGCAAGUAUAUCAUCUGAUUCGACAAAUAUGAACGAGCUUGUUCAGUGGAACGAGCUUUACGGCGAAGGCGGAUCUAGAAAGAAGACGCCUCUAAGCUACUUCAUGUAG